AUUUACAUUGCCAAAUUAUCAAAAACAUCUAUCAUCUCAUAAUUUACAUUGUUUAUAUUAACACAUCGGAGAUUUUGGGAACGAAGAUACCAAUUGAUCUCUUGUGAAGUCUCGCCAUGUCGAUUGUGGAGAUGAGAGUGCACGUGGAUUGUCCCGGAUGUGAAAGAAAAAUAACAAAAGCCCUUUCAAAAUUAGAUGGUGUGGACAGCAUAGACAUAGAUAUGGACAUGCAAAAGGUGACAGUCACAGGGUGGGCAGA